UUCCAUCUCCUGCAGAGAAUAAAGCAGAUGAAGAGAAAGAAGCUCCUGCAGAAAAGACAGUAGAGGAAGUACAACCAGAAACAGAGAAUAUUCCUGCAGAUGAAAAGUCAGCCACUGAAGCUCCAAAAUCUGAAGAGAAGAAAAUAGAAGAGAAAUCAGCUCCCGAGUAUCCAAAAUCUGAAGCUUCUUCUGUGGGGAUUAAAAAAACAGAAGAGAAACCAGCUACAAAGAAAGGCAAGUUUUGGUGGGAUAAGUGAACCAAAUUCACAAGUCAUGGGUACUGAUGUUAUUUUUAACAAGUUCUCUUGAGCAUGAUUUAUUUUAUUUUUACUGUUGAAUAUCAUUCUCAUUUGAUGAAAUUGGUAACGUUGUAUUUUCACCUUCAUAUUCAAAUACUUCAUCGUUUUUCCAUUCUAUACAAAUUUAUUUUCCUUAUUAUUCUAGUUUGAUCAAUACUCAUUACUGAUAUCUCUUUAUGCUGUUGAUUAAAUAGAAUCUAAUUAGAGACCUCCAUUUCUUUGAGUUCAAACAGAACAGGAAAAACGGAAUAUGUGUGUGAUACUUGAAGUUGCUUCAAAUAAUACCUACAUUAAUUAUGUAGUUAGUUGUCUAGUUGUCUUUCGAUUCAGACUUAGAGCCUAUGUUUCGAUUAAGCUAUAAAUAAGAGUGUCAGAGAUAUAAUGAAUGAGGAGAUGAAUCGACGAAGCAACUGUCCUUGAGGAGAAAAUCAUAAUGAAAAAAAAUUGAGAAGAAUUCUAAACUCAAAGUAUUAGAAGGUGUAUGAUCAAUAGGUGUUGCAGCUCCUUUGGUACAAAUGAAUAUAAGUCCCAUGGAUAGAUGAAGAGACGUAUAUAAUUCUGUAUUGCAAAUCUGUUAGAAACUCCACGUAAACUGUUGUAUUUAUGUUUAAAAUACAGUAUCAUUUACAGUUUACACUUCAUGAUUUAAUUAUAUAUAUUUACAUGUUUUGAAAGCAUAUAGGUAUUAUGUUGUAUUUUUAAAGUAAUGAAUGAUUUUCAUGAGUUCUAUGAGUAGUGUUUCGCUCGAUGAAAUUUUACGAAAACGGAUGCCAGUCGCUCGUCCAGAAUUGGGUCAUAAUACUCUUCGCAUGAAAUAAGGUAGUUCUUUGGGACUAAAUACUAAUUCCUCGUGUGUGGAGAUUCUGAAUUGAAAUUAGAAAAUUAUACUGCUACAAGGUUCUCUUAGGAUAAAGAUGAUAGCAAAUCUAUUUUUGGUUAUGUAUUCACUUUAAAUAGGGAUGUAGUGAGUUGGAAAAGUUCCAAGCAAAUACCAAUAGCUAAUUCAGUGACUAAAAUAGAAUAUGUAGCAGCUAGUGAAGUGGCUAAAGAAAGUACAGACGUCUCUGUACCAAUCUAAAAAGAUGCUAACAGUAACACAACAUUGAGUCCAUUAGCCCGCCGAUUAACAUAUAGCCAUAUAUCAGUCUGAAUAAAGUUGAAGAUUCCACCAAGUCUAAAGAAGAUUUUAACAAAAUAGAAAGAGAAAACAAAAUCUUUUUGUAAUCAUCUUCAUUUAUCUUUAUGCUAUCAAAUACAAAUUACAAUAUGAUCUAUCCAAAAUUAAUCAGAGUACUAUGUCCAUUGCUAAAGAACAGAGAGCAGCAACAGCAGAAAUUAGUACAGUUUCUAUCCAGUUAGCUCUAGUAAGAUACAAUUACUACAGUUUGUGCAACGGGCUACAUAAAUUAGGUUACAGAAUCAUUUUCCUGUAUCAGUUACUUCAAUCAAUAUCUAUACACAACUGCCAACGCUUACUACUAAAGAAAUUUCACGAAACUACUAUCUUCAUUCCCUGUUCUACUGCUAUAUCUUAUAGGAUUCUCAUAUGUCAACCUACUUUAUACCUAAUCAAACACUUGAUCCAAAAAAAUGAGUUUCGAAUAUAAAAUUAAUCUUCGCUAAAGAACAUCGCUAGAAAUUUUCAUCAAAUUUAUUUCCAUCGCUAGAAAGUAGAAAUCGCUAGAAAGUAGAAACAUACCUUUGAAAAUUGAAACUAUCGCAAGUUCGCAACAGCAGCAUCUUCGUUUGCCCGGAAUUUGUGAGGACUGAGGAGUGAGGAGUCGGAGCUCGGAAGUCGAAAAUCGCCAGAUCGAAAAUCGCCAAAUCGCCGCUCAACUGUACUGUAAUCUAAAUUGCUAAAUG
rnacentral:lncRNA from 1 species